GGACUUGGAAAAAAAUUAUACAAAGUGAAGUGAACCAGACCCAAAGAAAUAUGGACUCUGUGGAUUCUCUCAUAGGGAAUAAUUAGUACAUGUUUAGGCUAUUCAUAGCAGAAGAUCACAAAAGCUCAAUAGCUGUGUGCAUAUGGUCACAUA